UACGGGGGGGGCAAGCGUUGUUCGGAAUUACUGGGCGUAAAGGGCUCGUAGGCGGCCAACUAAGUCAGACGUGAAAUCCCUCGGCUUAACCGGGGAACUGCAUCUGAUACUGGAUGGCUUGAGAUUGGGAGAGGGAUGCGGAAUUCCAGGUGUAGCGGUGAAAUGCGUAGAUAUCUGGAGGAACACCGGUGGCGAAGGCGGCAUCCUGGACCAACACUGACGCUGAGGCGCGAAAGCUAGGGGAGCGAACGGG
rnacentral:rRNA from 1 species